GCUCAGAACGAACACUGACGGCGUGCUUAAUACAUGCAAGUCGAACGGGAAAGCAUCCUUCGGGGUGUGAGUAUAGUGGCGAACGGGUGAGUAACGCGUAAGCAAUCUGCCCUCCAGCUGGGGAUAACCCUGCCAACGCGGGGCUAAUACCGAAUAAUAUUGGAUUGUCGCAUGGCAGUCUGAUAAAAGCGGCAUUGUCGCACUGGAGGAGGAGCUUGCGUCCUAUUAGCUUGUUGGUGAGGUAAUGGCUCACCAAGGCUGUGAUAGGUAGCCGGCCUGAGAGGGUGACCGGCCACAUUGGGACUGAGAUACGGCCCAGACUCCUACGGGAGGCAGCAGUAGGGAAUUUUGCGCAAUGGACGAAAGUCUGACGCAGCAACGCCGUGUGAGCGAUGAAGGUCUUCGGACUGUAAAGCUCUGUCAGGAGGGAAGAACCUGUCCGGGUAAUGCCGGGCACUGACGGUACCUCCAGAGGAAGCUCCGGCUAACUCCGUGCCAGCAGCCGCGGUAAUACGGGGGGGGCUAGUGUUGUUCGGAUUUACUGGGCGUAAAGGGAGCGUAGGCGGAAAGCUUAGUCAGGGGUGAAAACUCGGGGCUCAACCCCGAACUUGCCUUUGAUACUGGCUUUCUUGAGUAUGGAAGAGGGUGAUGGAAUUCCUGGUGUAGCGGUGGAAUGCGUAGAUAUCAGGAGGAACACCAAUAGCGAAGGCAGUCACCUGGGACAAUACUGACGCUGAGGCUCGAAAGCGUGGGGAGCGAACAGGAUUAGAUACCCUGGUAGUCCACGCUGUAAACGAUGGAUACUAGAUAUUGGGGGAGUCAAUCCUUCCAGUGUCGAAGCUAACGCAUUAAGUAUCCCGCCUGGGGAGUACGGUCGCAAGGCUGAAACUCAAAGAAAUUGACGGGGGCCCGCACAAGCGGUGGAGCAUGUGGUUUAAUUCGAUGAUACGCGAAGAACCUUACCUGGGUUUGACAUGGGGGUGACCGGCGUAGAGAUACGUCUUUUUCUUCGGAAACACCCCACACAGGUGCUGCAUGGCUGUCGUCAGCUCGUGUCGUGAGAUGUUGGGUUAAGUCCCGCAACGAGCGCAACCCUUGUUCUGUGUUACCAGCGGAUAAUGCCGGGGACUCACAGGAGACUGCCUCUAACUAGAGGAGGAAGGUGGGGACGACGUCAAGUCAUCAUGGCCCUUACGCCCAGGGCUACACACGUGCUACAAUGGUCGGUACAGAGGGUUGCAAUGCCGCGAGGUGGAGCUAAUCUCAAAAAACCGAUCUCAGUUCGGAUUGGAGUCUGCAAUUCGACUCCAUGAAGUUGGAAUCGCUAGUAAUCGCAGAUCAGCAAUGCUGCGGUGAAUACGUUAUCGGGCCUUGUACACACCGCCCGUCAAGCCAUGAAAGCUGGGAGUGCUCGAAGUGGUUGCCUGAACCUUCGGGAGGGCGCCCACUAAAGCAAUACCAGUAAUUGGGGCUAAGUCG
rnacentral:rRNA from 1 species